rnacentral:rRNA from 1 species
UCCGUUUGAUCCUGACGGACCUGACUGCUAUCAGAUUGAUACUAAGCCAUGUUAGUUAUUGUAGUAAUACAAGGCAGACGGCUCAGUAACACGUAGUCAACCUAACUUAUGGACGGGGAUAACCUCGGGAAACUGAGAAUAAUACCCGAUAGGUCAUGAUGCCUGGAAUGGUUUAUGACUCAAAUAAUUUAUUGCCGUAGGAUGGGACUGCGAGCUAUCAGCUUGUUGGUGAGGUAAUGGCCCACCAAGGCUAUUACAGCUACGGGCUCUGAGAGGAGUAGCCCGGAGAUGGGUACUGAGACAAGGACCCAGGCCCUAUGGGGCGCAGCAGGCGAGAAAACUUUGCAAUGCGCGAAAGCUCGACAAGGUUAAUCUGAGUGGUUCCUGCUAAAGGAACCUUUUGUUAGUCGUAGAACCACUGAUGAAUAAGGGGUGGGCAAGUUCUGGUGUCAGCCGCCGCGGUAAAACCAGCACCUCAAGUGGUCAGGAUGAUUAUUGGGCCUAAAGCAUCCGUAGCCUGUUCUGUAAGUUUUCGGUUAAAUCCAUAAGCUCAACUUAUGGGCUGCCGAAAAUACUGCAGAACUAGGGAGUGGGAGAGGUAGACGGUACUCGGUAGGAAGGGGUAAAAUCCUUUGAUCUAUUGAUGACCACCUGUGGCGAAGGCGGUCUACCAGAACACGUUCGACGGUGAGGGAUGAAAGCUGGGGGAGCAAACCGGAUUAGAUACCCGGGUAGUCCCAGCUGUAAACGAUGCAAACUCGAUGAUGCGUUGGCUUGUUGCUAGCGCAGUGUCGCAGGGAAGCCGUUAAGUUUGCCGCCUGGGAAGUACGUACGCAAGUAUGAAACUUAAAGGAAUUGGCGGGGGAGCACCACAAGGGGUGAAGCCUGCGGUUCAAUUGGAGUCAACGCCUGAAACCUUACCCGGAGAGACAGCAGAAUGAAGGUCAAGCUGAAGACUUUACCAGACAAGCUGAGAGGUGGUGCAUGGCCGUCGCCAGCUCGUGCCGUGAGAUGUCCUGUUAAGUCAGGUAACGAGCGAGAUCCCUGCCUCUAGUUGCCACUAUUACACCCUGGUGUAGUAGGGCGAAUUAGGGGGACCGCCGCAGUUAAUGCGGAGGAAGGAAGGGGCCACGGCAGGUCAGUAUGCCCCGAAACUC